GUCGAACGAUGAUCCCNGCUUGCUGGGGGAUUAGUGGCGAACGGGUGAGUAACACGUGAGUAACCUGCCCUUGACUCUGGGAUAAGCCUGGGAAACUGGGUCUAAUACCGGAUAUGACUGUCUGACGCAUGUCAGGUGGUGGAAAGCUUUUGUGGUUUUGGAUGGACUCGCGGCCUAUCAGCUUGUUGGUGGGGUAAUGGCCUACCAAGGCGACGACGGGUAGCCGGCCUGAGAGGGUGACCGGCCACACUGGGACUGAGACACGGCCCAGACUCCUACGGGAGGCAGCAGUGGGGAAUAUUGCACAAUGGGCGCAAGCCUGAUGCAGCGACGCCGCGUGAGGGAUGACGGCCUUCGGGUUGUAAACCUCUUUCAGUAGGGAAGAAGCGAAAGUGACGGUACCUGCAGAAGAAGCGCCGGCUAACUACGUGCCAGCAGCCGCGGUAAUACGUAGGGCGCAAGCGUUAUCCGGAAUUAUUGGGCGUAAAGAGCUCGUAGGCGGUUUGUCGCGUCUGCUGUGAAAGACCGGGGCUCAACUCCGGUUCUGCAGUGGGUACGGGCAGACUAGAGUGCAGUAGGGGAGACUGGAAUUCCUGGUGUAGCGGUGAAAUGCGCAGAUAUCAGGAGGAACACCGAUGGCGAAGGCAGGUCUCUGGGCUGUAACUGACGCUGAGGAGCGAAAGCAUGGGGAGCGAACAGGAUUAGAUACCCUGGUAGUCCAUGCCGUAAACGUUGGGCACUAGGUGUGGGGGACAUUCCACGUUUUCCGCGCCGUAGCUAACGCAUUAAGUGCCCCGCCUGGGGAGUACGGCCGCAAGGCUAAAACUCAAAGGAAUUGACGGGGGCCCGCACAAGCGGCGGAGCAUGCGGAUUAAUUCGAUGCAACGCGAAGAACCUUACCAAGGCUUGACAUGAACCGGUAAUACCUGGAAACAGGUGCCCCGCUUGCGGUCGGUUUACAGGUGGUGCAUGGUUGUCGUCAGCUCGUGUCGUGAGAUGUUGGGUUAAGUCCCGCAACGAGCGCAACCCUCGUUCUAUGUUGCCAGCGCGUUAUGGCGGGGACUCAUAGGAGACUGCCGGGGUCAACUCGGAGGAAGGUGGGGACGACGUCAAAUCAUCAUGCCCCUUAUGUCUUGGGCUUCACGCAUGCUACAAUGGCCGGUACAAAGGGUUGCGAUACUGUGAGGUGGAGCUAAUCCCAAAAAGCCGGUCUCAGUUCGGAUUGGGGUCUGCAACUCGACCCCAUGAAGUCGGAGUCGCUAGUAAUCGCAGAUCA
rnacentral:rRNA from 1 species